rnacentral:lncRNA from 1 species
AGGCUUUGAUGGGCUUUCUGUGUAAGACUAUAGCCUGACCCGUACAGAUGGCAUAUCAGUUCUGAAAAGUUUGAAAAUUUUAUAAGCUGGAAGUCCUGGCCAAGUCUUCUGCAACUUUUGAACAUGGACUAUUCAUAUCUUGUAUACUUUAUACAAUGAACUGAUGAAAAUAACCUGAAAGAAUAACAAACUGAUUAUAAAAAUACACAAAAAACAACCGAAGCAGGCCAGUAAAAAAAAAAAAAAAAAAAAAAAAAAAAAAAAAAAUACCUAACCUACCGACCUAAUUUUUUGGGGCAUGCAACAGGAAACACACCUAUUUUUUUUUUGGCCUCAGUU